rnacentral:rRNA from 1 species
CGGACGGGUGAGUAACGCGUGGGCAACCUACCCCACACAGGGGGACAACAGUUGGAAACGACUGCUAAUACCGCAUAGGCGCACAGCUUCGCAUGAAGCAGUGUGGAAAACCGAGGUGGUGUGGGAUGGGCCCGCGUCUGAUUAGCUGGUUGGCGGGGUAACGGCCCACCAAGGCGACGAUCAGUAGCCGGACUGAGAGGUUGGCCGGCCACAUUGGGACUGAGAUACGGCCCAGACUCCUACGGAAGGCAGCAG